rnacentral:rRNA from 1 species
AGACCCUACGGGGGGCAGCAGUGGGGAAUAUUGGGCAAUGGGCGCAAGCCUGACCCAGCAACGCCGCGUGAAGGAAGAAGGCUUUCGGGUUGUAAACUUCUUUUCUGAGGGACGAUAGUGACGGUACCUCAGGAAUAAGCCACGGCUAACUACGUGCCAGCAGCCGCGGUAAUACGUAGGUGGCGAGCGUUGUCCGGAUUUACUGGGUGUAAAGGGCGCGUAGGCGGAUUUGCAAGUCAGAUGUGAAAUACCGGGGCUUAACUCCGGAACUGCAUUUGAAACUGUAGACCUUGAGUGCCGGAGAG